rnacentral:ncRNA from 3 species
GCGGGAGUAACUAUGACUCUC